UUUACUCUUUUUUAUUUCCUGUUCUUUAGUCUAACUGAAUAUGGGUUUUUGCCAGGGCUUGUCAUAUUGCAGUAGUGAAAGCAACACUGACCUGGAACUAAGACUACUUGCUUGAAAAGGUUUCCCGAGUAUUUGGAUUUGUUACUUGCCCUUUUGCAUCUGGCUGAAUAUGAAAAUGCGAGGCAGAGAGUAAGAAGCUCUCAGAAAAACUCCUCACUGCAAUAUAAUCAUCUAUUAUCUCUAUGAAUUGGACUUCAUUUCUAAAUUCUGGAGAUGGCUGAGAUGGAGAAUCCAUUUCAUUAUGAGAAUCAGAAGAUCCAGGUGAUACUGCUGUGAUUUUCCCUGGAUCUUUUUUGGCUGGGACAAAAAUAGAUAAUACUUCAAAGGAUUGGUUCUGAAACUGAAUUUUGGGAUGGUGUUCCUUCUGGGAAGCCUAAAAGGGAGGCGGCUCUCACUCUCAUAGC